GACGAACCGUGCGAACGUUGUUCGGAAUCACGGGGCUUAAAGGGCGCGUAGGCGGGUCGCCGCGUCCGGGGUGAAAUCCCACGGCUCAACCGUGGAACGGCCUCGGAUACGGGCGGCCUCGAGGGGGGUAGGGGCAUCUGGAACUGUGAGUGGAGCGGUGAAAUGCGUUGAUAUUCACAGGAACUCCGGUGGCGAAGGCGAGGUGCUGGACCCCUUCUGACGCUGAGGCGCGAAAGCCAGGGGAGCGAACGGG
rnacentral:rRNA from 1 species